AGCCUCCUUGUUCCCUCCUGCGCCAGGCCCGCAGCAGCCGGGACCCGUGGUCCUCAAUAUGUCUUCCACAGCCCCAGUUGCGGAGGGAGAGGGCAGCACCGCCCAGCCCGCGUCCGAGAAGGAGCCCAAAAUGCCUGGCCCGCGAGAGGAGAGUGAGGAAGAGGACGAGGACAACGACGAGGAGGAGGAGGAAGAGAAAGAAAAGAGUCUCAUCGUGGAAGGCAAGAGGGAAAAGAAAAAAGUAGAAAGGUUGACCAUGCAAGUCUCUUCCUUACAAAGAGAGCCAUUUACAAUUGCACAAGGAAAAGGGCAGAAACUUUGUGAAAUUGAGAGGAUACAUUUUUUUCUGAGUAAGAAGAAAACAGAUGAACUUAGAAAUCUACAUAAACUGCUUUACAACAGGCCAGGCACCGUGUCCUCAUUAAAGAAGAAUGUGGGUCAAUUCAGUGGCUUUCCAUUUGAAAAAGGAAGUACUUAGUAUAAAAAGAAAGAAGAAAUGUUGAAAAAAAUUAGAAAUGCCGUGUUAAAGAGCAUCUGUGAGGUUCUUGAUUUGGAGAGAUUGGGUGUAAAUAGUGAAUUAGUGAAGAGAAUCUUGAAUUUCUUAAUGCAUCCAAAGCCAUCUGGCAAACCACUGCCAAAAUCUAAGAAAACUCCCAGCAAAGGCAGUAAAAAGGAAUGGAACAGUUCUGGAAUGGCAAGAAAGGCGAAGCGAACCAAAUGUCCUGAAAUUCUAUCAGAUGAAUCUAGUAGUGAUGAAGAUGAAAGGAAGGGUCUUCAGAUGAUGAAGAUAAAGAGAGUGAAGAGGAGCCACCAAAAAAGACAUCUAAAAGAGAAAAACCUAAACAGAAAGCUACUUCUAAAAGUAAAAAAAAUGUGAAAAGUGCUAAUGUUAAGAAGGCAGAUAGCAGCACCACCAAGAAGAAUCAAAGCAGUUCCUUAUCGUCCGCUCCUUACUACCACACCACAAAAUCAGCACAGCCAAGCAAGGGCCUUCCCCUGUCCACACCUCUCAAGAAAAUGCCCAAGAAUCUGGACUCCAUGGGGACAGGCUUUCAGAACUCAGGGUGA